rnacentral:rRNA from 1 species
AAUUUUCCGCAAUGGGCGAAAGCCUGACGGAGCAAUACCGCGUGAGGGAUGACGGCCUGUGGGUUGUAAACCUCUUUUCUCAAGGAAGAAGUUCUGACGGUACUUGAGGAAUAAGCAUCGGCUAACUCUGUGCCAGCAGCCGCGGUAAUACAGAGGAUGCAAGCGUUAUCCGGAAUCACUGGGCAUAAAGCGUCUGUAGGUGGUUUGGUAAGUCUGCUGUUAAAGACUGGGGCUCAACCCCAGAAAAGCAGUGGAAACUGCUAGACUUGAGUGUGGUAGAGGUAGAGGGAAUUCCUAGUGUAGCGGUGAAAUGCGUAGAUAUUAGGAAGAACACCAAUGGCGAAGGCACUCUACUGGGCCAUAACUGACACUGAGAGACGACAGCUAGGGGAGCAAAUGGGAUUAGAUACCCCAGUAGUC